rnacentral:rRNA from 1 species
GACGAACCGUGCGAACGUUAUUCGGAAUCACUGGGCUUAAAGCGCGUGUAGGCGGGACGGCACGUCGGUCGCUGAAAUCCCCCGGCUUAACCGGGGAACGGGCGUCGAUACGACCGUCCUGGAGGGGCGUAGGGGGACCUGGAACUUCCGGUGGAGCGGUGAAAUGCGUUGAGAUCGGAGGGAACGCCCGUGGCGAAAGCGAGGUCCUGGACGCCUACUGACGCUGAGACGCGAAAGCCAGGGGAGCGAACGGG